rnacentral:rRNA from 1 species
AUUGAACGCUGGCGGCAUGCUUUACACAUGCAAGUCGAACGGUAACAGGUUAAGCUGACGAGUGGCGAACGGGUGAGUAAUGCAUCGGAACGUGCCCGAUCGUGGGGGAUAACGCAGCGAAAGCUGCGCUAAUACCGCAUACGAUCUGAGGAUGAAAGCGGGGGACCGUAAGGCCUCGCGCGAUCGGAGCGGCCGAUGUCAGAUUAGGUAGUUGGUGGGGUAAAGGCCCACCAAGCCGACGAUCUGUAGCUGGUCUGAGAGGACGACCAGCCACACUGGGACUGAGACACGGCCCAGACUCCUACGGGAGGCAGCAGUGGGGAAUUUUGGACAAUGGGCGAAAGCCUGAUCCAGCAAUGCCGCGUGCAGGAAGAAGGCCUUCGGGUUGUAAACUGCUUUUGUACGGAGCGAAAAGGUCCUUUCUAAUACUUUGGGCUCAUGACGGUACCUGAAGAAUAAGCACCGGCUAACUACGUGCCAGCCGCCGCAGUAACAC